GUCCUGGAACAGCUCAGUCGGUAGUGCACGAGGAGACUCUUAAUCUCUAGGUCGUGGGUUUGAGCCCCACACUGGGCA